CUACGGGCGGCUGCAGUGAGGAAUAUUGCACAAUGGAGGAAACUCUGAUGCAGCAACGCCGCGUGGAGGAUGACGCAUUUCGGUGUGUAAACUCCUUUUAUAUGUCAAGAAAAUGACGGUAGCAUAUGAAUAAGCUCCGACUAACUCCGUGCCAGCAGCCGCGGUAAUACGGAGGGAGCAAGCGUUACUCGGAAUCACUGGGCGUAAAGGACGCGUAGGCGGGAUAGAAAGUCAGGUGUGAAAUCCUAUGGCUCAACCAUAGAACUGCACUUGAAACUUCUAACCUAGAGUAUGGGAGGGGAAGAUGGAAUUAGUGGUGUAGGGGUAAAAUCCGUAGAUAUCACUAGGAAUACCAAAAGCGAAGGCGAUCUUCUGGAACAAUACUGACGCUAAGGCGUGAAAGCGUGGGGAGCAAACAGGAUUAGAUACCCUGGUAGUC
rnacentral:rRNA from 1 species